rnacentral:sRNA from 1 species
CCAUAGCCCUGAAACGACAUCCUUUUUGGUUUGGUGUAGGCUUCGACAGGCUCAGCCUGCGUGUUGGAGAAACAAAAAAGAUACAGUGGAAAGCGGGAUCAAGC